AUGGGUUUUCAAACGGAAAUGGUCGUGAUGAGCAUCAAGGAGAUUGGGUAUAGUGACGAAAAUGCAUUACUUGAACUACUUUUAACAUACAAGGCACUAGGUGAUGAAGAUGCAUUGGGUAACUGCUCUACUUCUGGCUGCGCCCCCCUUAGAGUUGAACAUGGUGAUGAUCUUGAUUUUGAGAGCUCAAAUGGUGAUGACGAUGCUAGUGAUACACAGCCCAGCUCCGGUGAUUGUGGUGAUGAGAAUUUUAUACGAAAGAUGUCAGAGAAGGACAAGAAGAUCAACCCAUUAGUACAUAUGGGCUUUUCUGAAAAUGACGCAAAUAUGGCUAUUACAAGAUGUGGUAUGGAUGCUGAUCUCUCUGUAUUGGUUGAUUCGAUUAGUGCGUCACUGGUUGCAAGAGAUUUUGACUUAUCUAAUCAUCAGGUUAUGAAUAGAUGCUCUGACUCCUUUAGAGGGACAAAGAAAAUAAGAUUGAUGGAAGAUAGAAAGAAAAAGAGGAAACGGUAUGGAGGUACAGCACAUGGCAAUCAAAUCUUCUUGGAUGGCAGCCAUUAUGAACAUAUGCCUCCCCCAAAUCCAAUGGUUGGAUUUAGCCUGCCCAAUUAUAGCCAACUAUCAGUGGACAGAAAAAUUCCUAAAAAAGCUAUCGGGCGACCUUUUUUCUACUACGAAAAUGUGGCCCAAGCUCUCACAGGUGUAUGGGCGACCAUUUCAAGUUCUCUGUAUGGCAUUCAGCCUGAGUUUGUGGACUCGAAGCAUUUGUGUGCAGCUGCAAGGAAAAGAGGCUACAUCCACAAUUUGCCUAUUGAGAACAGAGCACCUCUUCUUCCUCUGCCUCCAAAGACAAUACUUGAGGCAUUCCCUCGGUACAAGAAGUGGUGGCCUUCCUGGGACACGAGAACACAGUUCAACUGCUUGCGAACAAGUGUGGCAUGUCAACAGCUGACAGGAAGCAUUGGUGCUCUUGCAAGAACAGGGAAUCCACCGCCUCGAAAUAUUCAAAAAGAUAUCAUCAAACAGUGCAAAGUGUACAAUCUUGUCUGGAUAGGAAAGAACAAAGUUGCUGCAUUGGAGCCUGAAGAGAUUGAAUAUCUACUAGGUUUCCCGAAGGACCAUACAAGGGGACUCGCCAUCACAAAUAGAUACAAAUCUCUCGGCAACUCAUUUCAAGUUGAUACUGUUGCUUACCACUUGUCAGUACUGAGGGGCAUGUUUCCCAAUGGAGUUACUGUGUUGUCCUUAUUCACUGGUAUUGGAGGAGGAGAGGUAGCUUUGCAUAGGUUGGGGAUCCACAUGAGGACAGUGGUUUCUGUUGAGAUAGACAAAACUAGUAAGAGGAUUUUCAGGGGUUGGUGGGAUCAGACUCAAACAGGCACGUUGAUUGAGUUUGAUGACGUGAAAUCUCUUACUGAUGCUAAAGUUGCAUCACUGGUUACUAGAUUUGGCGGUUUCGACUUGGUGAUUGGGGGCAGCCCAUGUAACAAUCUUGCUGGGUGCAACAGAUACAGCCGUGAUGGCUUGGAAGGCAAGGAAUCUGUUUUGUUCUACGAGUACCCCAAAAUCUUGGAGGCCGUCGAGGACGCUAUGUCGAGGAUGUAG
rnacentral:rRNA from 1 species